ACUCCUACGGGAGGCAGCAGUGGGGAAUAUUGGACAAUGGGGGAAACCCUGAUCCAGCCAUGCCGCGUGUGUGAAGAAGGCCUUCGGGUUGUAAAGCACUUUCAGUGGGAGGAAAGGUUGAUGGUUAAUACCUAUCAGCUGUGACGUUACCCACAGAAGAAGCACCGGCUAACUCCGUGCCAGCAGCCGCGGUAAUACGGAGGGUGCAAGCGUUAAUCGGAAUUACUGGGCGUAAAGCGUGCGCAGGCGGUCUGUUAAGCGAGAUGUGAAAGCCCCGGGCUCAACCUGGGAACUGCAUUUCGAACUGGCAGACUAGAGUCUUGUAGAGGGGGGUAGAAUUCCAGGUGUAGCGGUGAAAUGCGUAGAGAUCUGGAGGAAUACCGGUGGCGAAGGCGGCCCCCUAGGACAAAGACUGACGCUCAGGCACGAAAGCGUGGGGAGCAAACAGGAUUAAGAUACCCGUGGUAGGCUCUGC
rnacentral:rRNA from 1 species